rnacentral:rRNA from 1 species
UUGAACGCUGGCGGCAUGCCUUACACAUGCAAGUCGAACGGCAGCACGGGGGCGACCCUGGUGGCGAGUGGCGAACGGGUGAGUAACGCAUCGGAACGUACCCGGAAGUGGGGGAUAACGUAGCGAAAGUUACGCUAAUACCGCAUAUUCUGUGAGCAGGAAAGAGGGGGAUCGCAAGACCUCUCGCUUCCGGAGCGGCCGAUGUCGGAUUAGCUAGUUGGCGGGGUAAAGGCCCACCAAGGCGACGAUCCGUAGCGGGUCUGAGAGGACGACCCGCCACACUGGAACUGAGACACGGUCCAGACUCCUACGGGAGGCAGCAGUGGGGAAUUUUGGACAAUGGGGGCAACCCUGAUCCAGCCAUUCCGCGUGAGUGAAGAAGGCCUUCGGGUUGUAAAGCUCUUUCAGCAGGAGCGAAACGGUCGUUUUUAAUACAGACGGCUAAUGACGGUACCUGCAGAAGAAGCACCGGCUAACUACGU